UUUCUUCCUGGAGAUGACGUUCCUCCUUUAACCGCCGUUUCGUUCUGAAGCAGCUGAUGACGUCUACAGUGAC
rnacentral:ncRNA from 2 species